AGCCUCAUUCUAGAUUUGACUGGGCACUGUCAUUCAGUGUCCAACAUUCUUAAUGUAGCUAAACUGAGACACAGGUAAUGCUUCCAUCACAGUAGUAGCACAGUGGUGACAGUAAGACCUGCAACAUUU
rfam:Tupaia chinensis contig116171, whole genome shotgun sequence.